GACGUAGGGUGCAAGCGUUGUCCGGAGUUACUGGGCGUAAAGGACGCGUAGGCGGCGCGUCGCGUCGCACGUGAAAGCCCCCGGCUCAACCGGGGAGGGUCGUGCGAAACGGAUGUGCUUGAGGCAGCGAGAGGCGAGUGGAAUUCCCGGUGUAGUGGUGAAAUGCGUAGAUAUCGAGAGGAACACCAGAGGCGAAGGCGGCUCGCUGGCGCUGACCUGACGCUGAGGCGUGAAGACGUGGGGAGCGAACGGG
rnacentral:misc_RNA from 1 species